rnacentral:snRNA from 1 species
GUGAGGGCAUUCUGGCUGCGACAUCUGUCACCCCAUUGAUAGCCAGGGUUGGUCUGGGUGACCUGGCUGGCUAGGUAGGUGUCUGCUUUCCCCCCUCACCAAAAGGGCAUCCCUCCCAAAGCUGCAUGUUUGAAGAGGACGAUCAUCUCCGAUAGAGGACCGGUCUUUGGUCAAGGGUAUGCCUCCAAACUUCCAAACAAGUUCUCAACACAGAGGAUUCAUGUAAAGUACUU